UUUGGACAUGAGUUCAGCUGAGACACGAUCGGUGAAAAUAAAGAUCUUUGCUUCCUGAACUGACCUGCAUCCGGACUCUUUGUGCGUGGCUUCUUCAGAGUUCUGCUUUUACAUUUCCAUGUUAAGUUUGAUUCUUUGGUGCCGGUUCUGUAAUUCAACGAUAACCACAAUUGUAAAAGGUAAGAAAUAGGUGAACCAUACUUCAAGUAAAUCCAACAAGGAAAUGAGUUUUCAAUAAAUAAAUUCUGAAUUCAGUAAAUGUUUAGUAAUGCAGUAAAAAAUACAGGCCAUGUAUGUGGAAAGAUAAAAAAAAAAUCAUAUAUAUGCUUAAAAUAUAUAACACUGUAAGAAGUGGGGGGGGCAAAAAAACUAAACAAAAUCUAACUGGACACUGGACAAGUUAGGUUACAAAAAUAGCAAUAAAGGCAACAUAGCUUUUCAGUUAUACUUACAGGGUUCAAAAGGCCAUGUUUUUAUACAAAUUCUUUUUUGUUUUCGGAGGAUUUCUGGCACUGACUUUGUCAGCUGUGUUGUGCUUAACUAACCCAGCAGACAAAAGUAAAUCAUUUCAGUAUUGUUUUAUGUUACAUUUUUAUCUGUACACUAUUGUACUGAUGACAAACAAGAUAGUAGUUAUUUAGUGAGCAAAUCUAAGCUGCUUCUUUUCUCAAAUGAGCAGUCUUCGUUGGGAUUCUAACAUAUCAAUAAAUUAAAAAUGCAGGGCAACAUACAGACAGAUUGCAGCUCGUUUUGGAAAACCACAGUCAAAAGACAAAAACAGAAUUCAUAGUAUUCUAAAAAUGUUACAUAAUUGUGCUUGGGAAAAGGGCCAAAAAUAAAAAUCCGUUGGUUUAAAAAAAAAAGUAUGUCAAGAUGGUAUUCAUCUAUCUACAACAUUGUCUUCUAACCCUUAGAGUAUUUUUCCUCUCUACUUCGUUCAUUGUAAAUGCUUCAGAAAGUCGGAGAACAAAAGCACUUAGCAAAUAUUAAAGUGCCCGGAGGGGAUUAUUCUCUGAAUCUGUAAAACUAUCAGGUGCUCGUUGACUGAAUGUGAGUUUCUAAAGAAGCAGCAUAUUAUUCAAACCAUGGGCCUGAUUAAAACACAAAAUACCAUCAGCUUGAUCCAUUUAUCUCUUCACUUUAACUCUAUAUUCGCUUCAUUACCCAUGGCUAUUAAUGUUCUACACAAUCUAAAUGUAAUAUUAUAUUAUGUAGCAAUUUUAUGCUCUUCUGGAUUUCCUUAUUAGUUUUUCUCCUUCUUAAAUGAUUACUGCAUGCAAUAAUAAGAAUCAAGACUGCAAUAGCCUUACAAUGCAUGCAUGUUUAGUUAAGAAUACAGAAGACAAAAUGCAUGGUUGAUUUUCUAAAGUAUAAUCUAAAAUAUUUUUUCAAACAAAAAAACAAAACAAAUUUAGUCCAUGACGCUGUUCUGCUCGGCAGAAUUUCUGUUCCGAAAAAUUUGCCUGAGCAAUUCAGGCAGCUAAAAAAACAGGAAAAAGAUGUAUAUGACUGGGCUGAUAUGCAUAAAUGGCUACAAUAUCACCUGAUAUAAUGGCUACUCAAUAUCAGUCAUUUUUGCAAUGACAAUUUUGAGUUGCCAAAAUUAGUUUAUUAUAUAUAUGUAUAUAUAUAUAUAUAUAAAAAAAAAAUAGAAAGUGGCAGAUUUUAUUUUUAUAAUCAGUACACAUAAUAUUUAUCUUUUUUAUCUUGCAUUAACCCCUUAAGGACUGUGUCAAAUGUACACGUUUUGAUCAAAAUAAAACGUAAACAAAACUUGGAAUUUGACUAUAUUUUUUUUCAACUGUAAUUCACCUCUUUCAUAUUAAGUGCACCCAUACUUAUUAUAUAUCAUUUUAUUCAGGAGAAAUAGGGCUUUCAUGUAACAUCAAAAUAUUUAGCUAUGAAACAUAAAUUAAUAUGAAUAAAAUAUAAAAAAAAAUGUGAGAAAUUAAGAAAAAAAAAUGUUUAGUUCUGCAUGACAUUUUAACUGUGAAUGUCAUAAUACUGUUUGCUUUUACUGCAAUAAAAUACACAUAUUUGUAUUCAGCGAUGUCUCACGUGUAAAACAGUACCCCCUAUGUACAGGUUUUAUGGUGUUUUGGGAAGUUACAGGGUCAAAUAUAGCAUGUUACAUUUUUCAGUUUUUUCACAUUGCAAUUCGCCAGAUUGGUUACGAUGCCUUUUAGACAAUAUGGUAGCCCAGGAAUGAGAAUUACCCCCAUGAUGGUAUACCAUUUGCAAUAGUAUACAACCCAAGGUAUUGCAAAUGAGGAAUGUCCAGUCUUUUUUAGUAGCAUCUUAGUCACAAAUGCUGGCCAAAAUUAGCGUUAAUAUUUGUAUGUGAAAAAUGCAAAAAACUAAUUUGAACGCCAAUUUUGGCCAGUGUUUGUGAAUAAGUGGUUACCAAAAAUGACUGGACAUACCCCAUUUGCUAUACCUUGGGGUGUCUACUUUUGCAAAUGGUAUGCCACCAUGGGGGUAAUUCUCAUUCCUGAGCUACCAUAUGGUCUCAAAGGCAACAUAACCAAUCUGGCAAAAAAAAGGAAAAUUUAAGCCUUAUAUUUGACUCAGUAACUUUUGAAAACACCAUCAAACCUGUACAUGGGGGCUACUGUUAUACUUGGGAGACUUCGCUGAACACAAAUAUUAGUUUUUAAAAACAUUAAACAUAUCACAAUAAUUAUAUCGUCAGUGAAAGUACAGUGUGUGUGUGUGUGAAAAAUUAAAAAAACUGCAUUUUUACUGACGAUAUCAACGUUGUGAUACGUUUUACUGUUUUUAAACACUAAUAUUUGUAUUCAGCUAAGUCUUCCGAGUAAAACAGUAUCCCCCAUUUGCAGGUUUUAUGGUGUUUUCAAAAGUUACUGAGUCAAAUAUAACUUUCUGCCUGGGUUGUCGGGCAGGUCCCUCAGAUUGUAAUUAAUAAAAUUACUUAAUAAUGUAAAAAUAUUAUAUAAAUAUAUUUGUAGAAUUUAAAUAUAUAUGUAAAUACAGUUAUAACAAAUAAUUAAUAAUUAUAUAUAUAUAUAUAUACAUAUAUAUAUAUAUAUAUAUAUGUAUAUAUACAAUUAACUUCAUUCUAAGUGUAUUUUAAUGUAUAUAUAUAUAAACAUUAAAAUACACUUUUAUUAAUGAUGUAUGUAUAUAUAAAAGUAUUUAGAUCAUUAUAUAUAUAUAUAUAUAUAUAUACAUACAUAUAUACAUAUACACACACACAUAUAUAUAUGAUAUAAGUACUUUUUAUUUUAUUUAAAAACGGUUUAAUAAUUUUUAUAAACUUUAUAAACUUUUUUGCAGGCAUUAGGGGGACGGCCCGAGAGUUCAGGCAGAGGGGGCGACGACGGGGACGUUCUUUGCCGCAUGCAGGCGUUUAGGACCACCCCAAAAGGGACGGCAUAAAACGCCUGCCAUCCUUAAGGGGUUAAGAGAAUAAAAAUAAAUUUAAGUUUUAAACGAAAUAUGAAUUGUUGACAUAAUGGUAUACCUUAACGAAAUAUGGUAUGAUGUAAUAAAUACUGCAGUAGGUAAAAAUGUAUGAGCUGUUGAACAGGAUGAAGCGUAUGUGCAAAAUGCAACUGUGACAAUGUGUUGGUGUGUUUUAGGCAGGCAUUGUUUAAAGGGACACAGAUCACUUCAGCUCAUUGAAGUGGUCUGGGUGCCUAUUUCCAGGUUCCUUAUUAUAUAUUAAUUAUUGCAGUUAUUAGAGAAACUGGAACCAUUACUAUCCAGGGUUAACUCCAACUCUAGUGGCUGUCUGCCAGACAGCCACUAGAGGGACUUCUGAGUCAUUUGGAAACUUUUGGUUGCCUAACUGACGAUGGAUGCCCUCACCCUAUGCUUGAGGAUGUCCAGCGUCACCCGAAACUCAAUGCCAUGGCUUAAUACCAUUGUAAUCAGUGCUGGGCUUUGUCAGUUGCCCAAUGUUACCCCGAGGGUGCAUAAUUCAUUGUUGCACAAUAGAAUAUUUAUGUAAUUUGUGUAGUGCAUAUAUGAACUGACCACUUGGUAAAGAUCACAUGACAGAGAGGUAGUGUGAAUUGAAUAGGAAUGUGAAAGGGAGCAGAUGGUUUACCAUAUCAUUGAUCCUUUGAUUAAUCAAAAGCUCUGUAAGGUGUGAGAAGUCACCCAUAAGUGGCCUGGAAGUUUAGUUUCAGUGUAAACUUCAGCCAUAUGGUCUCUGCCUUUUAAUUGAUGAGUGGAUUUCUCUAAAAUGUUAAUGAUCAUUAGCUUUCAAGAAAAGAGGAAAAACAAGCCUUGUGUUCCAGUAUCAUAUCCACAUGAAAUAAACAUUAAAAUUUACCCAGAGGAUAAUAAUUAAGCCUCAUUUUUAUUAUAUUUGGAAUGUGACCAGCACAAUCUUCUAAUCAAGCCCAAACAAUAUUUACAUAACCAUAUGGGAAGGGAUUAGGAUGUCUGCUAUAUUGGGUCACAAGUAAGAAGUGUAAUAUAUCUAUGCAAUGGAAAAAUGGUAACCAAUUCAUAGAUGCAAUUAUUAUUUCUGUGGCAAGUACAUAAGAGGAGAUAGAACCAAAUGUUUCUAUUUGGAUUGAUGUUGGUCUGGAACACAAGGGGGUUGCCACUUAUAGUUACUAUAGGUACGCCUUGUAACCAUCUCUGGGCGAAGCUUGAUAAUCCACAGGGUAUAUCUGUAAUGAUGCUGGAGUGUGCAUUGUACUUGCUUGAGGAGCCAGAAUCUAAUUCCAAGUUAGUCACCAUCUUUCUUACCAGAGACCCCCUGGGGCAAAAGUUUUACUUUGAAGAGCCGAGUAAGUGAUUAGGACUUCUGUUAUUUUAUCCCUUUAGUUUUUUUCUUUUGUUUGUGUAAAUAAUUUGUUUAUCAUCUAUUUUUUGUAUUCACUGUGACUAUUUUUUGCUUAUAAUAAAUAGUCCUUUACUAAGUUCUGCCUUUGUCUGGUAAAGAAUCAAGUUACCUGAAGAGACUAAUUAGUAUUUUGCAAUUACAUAGAUAUUGUGCUAAGUUACAUUUGGUGGGUUUUAUUAUUAAGUUACCUGGGGGACCAAGGCAUCCCAUUUAUAAACUGUCUUGGUCGUGGCAGCGUUAAAAUAGUAAUAGUUAUAUUAUGCCUAAGUGUGGAUGGUGUUAAGGGGGAUUUUAUAAUUAUUUCUGGUCUAGUGCAGACAAAUAGGAAGCUUUAACCCUUUCACCACCACAACUACGUCACGCACACUCUUGAAGUAGGCUGCGUUCGUGACACCCAGCAUCAAUCAUAGCUAGUAAUUGGAGGUGACAUAAUUGUUGUUACAGAAAGCCCUGGACCAAAAGUGCUAUUUUCACCAUCCUGUGGGCCCCUCCCACCUAGCGAUUGGAGGCUAUUUGAGCUCCUAGGAUGCCAGACAACCAGUUGUGAUAGCACCAUGGUAGAAACUAAAAAGAGACACAGAAGUUCAACACAGCCAUAGGCAAUUGUAUACCAGUUAUGAACUUAGUCAUGGCCUUCAAAAUAUUCAAUUGGGUGGUGAUUAAACACCAUAUGGACAAUUAGUGCACUAUUUGGACUGAGGGUAAUUGAGAGCAUGAGUUAUCAGGGGAUACCAUAGUUUAUGGGGACACUAUGGGGCAGGGCAGAAGACCCAUUCUCAGAGUGCCUUAGCUGAAAGGGAUUCAGCAGACUUGGAAGCGCCAAGGAGGCUUCAUUCUUUGGUAUUGUUAAUAACCCCCUGCAGGGUGAAGACAUUUUGACCAAAUAAAUAUGUGCAUGUUUUCCCAAUAAAGUACACUUGUUUCACCCUUUAUCAAGUCUUGACAGAUGCUUGGGUGAUCUGUUAUGAUCUCUCUGGGUAUUCUGUGGGACAAAGGAGGGAAGCUAGUUGAGAUGCUCAAACUGAGUACAGGGGUUCCGCUACACUACUUCUUUAUCUUAGAUUUCCCUUUGCAUAGGUAUUAGAAUUAGGUUUGGAUUAGGGAUUAAAAUAAAGAUAAAGCAUAGAUUUUGUGAAAAGUAUUCUGCUUAGUAUUAGGUUUAUGUUUAGGAUUAAGAUUAGAAUUAAUUUUAAAACUUGGAUUAGGUUUCAGAUUAGGCUUUGAAUUGAAACCACCAAAAUAAUCUUUCUGCUGAAAUCAACAAGGGAAUUCCUAUACUGACAGCAUUCUAACUCUACUGCUAGUGUUAGGUAGGAUUAAGAAUAAGGUUAGACAUUGAAUUAUGGUAUGAGUUAAGAUUGGGGUGAUAUUUAUAAUUAGGAUUAGAUUAUAAAUGGAAUUUCAUUUGGUUUAAAAUUAAGGUUUGGUUUAGAAUUAGGGAUAGGAUUAAUUGUUACUUUGCAAAGUUAUACAUAUGAGAUAUUGUCGUAUUCAGAAAAUGGUGCUGAAUACAGUAAAGAUAAUGUUAUUACAGUAGUACCCAUGAGAUGUAAAUGCUUAUGUAAAAAUUUAAAAAUAAAAGUGAAUAUCCCAAACUUUGAAAAGAAAAUUGUGAAAAUAGAACCCCAAUAAAGCUCAUAAUAUAUCAUGUAAGAGCCCCCAAGGUGACCACAUUUGCAAAUGGUAUGUAUAUAUUAAGUAAAUUAAAAAUGGGAACUACUAAAACUCCCCAAAAUGCACAAAAUCAAUUUGCCAUUUUUUGUUUAAAAAACAGCAUUGCACAGGUUAUAAAUUCAGGCCUGUAUUUGUUUUCCAGAAACAUGACAAGGGUAUGUGAAGGGGUCAUGCUAUACUCAAGAGAUAUAGUUGAGCACAAAUAAGUGAUUUUCACUACAGUAGCACAUAUUUUAAGUUUGCAAAUGAAAUGGCUAAAUUGCAAUGUGCAUAUCAAAAACAUGAGAAAAUAAAACGAUGCAAAAUAUAAAAAAAAUGUAGUGUGUAUGUAAAAAUAUGCUAAAAAAAAUAAACAAAAUAAACAUUUUUACCACAAACUUUGACAUAAACUGGUAAACACAAUGGCCACUCUUUAAGGCACAAUGUACGACUUAUGAGAUACCAUGGAGUGUCUACUUUCACAAAUGGAAGGCCUUUGUGAGGAAAUUUGAACAAUCAAACUGCUAUAAUUCCCAAAAUGAAACGUAUGCACUAAUGGUACUAAGAAAACAGUAAAACCUAGGAGUAAUGCCAAAGCCUUAGCAGGAUUUGUUCCUACAUGGAGUGUAAUAGAAUUUAUAAAUAAUCUUAACUUGUUUGUGAGUUUGCUAGAUGAAGCUUUUAGUUAUAUUGGUGAUACCAUAUUGCAAUUCUCUGCUGAGCAACUCAAAUUAAAAUAACUAAAUCGCAUGGCCUUAUAUAAUCUUUGAGUAUCAAGGGGAAAUCAGGGAGCUUACUAGAAUGCAGUCUCUGCAAAACCAAAUCCAGAACUGCACUCAUCCAAAGAUAGGAUCCAUGGUGCACCCAAACCAGGAACUUGCACCAUGUCCCAAAUACAGUAGAUACAAGAAAAAAAGGUCCAGGCACUCCAAGGUAUCAAAAAGGCAAAAUUUAAUGAACCCCAGAAGUCAGCAAUGUUUCGACCAAGAUGGUAUUUUCCAAGCAAACGUUUAAGCAAUGUAUCCUAUAUAGAUUUCUUCUCAUGGUGCUCAUGAUUGUGUUUCUUUACGCUGGAGUGUCAUUGUUGAUGUUAAUAAGUCCUCCACCACUACUUUCUAUAUAUAGGCUAUAUUACCUGAUGAACUUUACUUUUAUUAUUUAGGGUAGGUGAACUGUAACAAGGAAGGGAGAGUCUGAAGAAGUGCAUGUCUAAAGGAUGACGGCGAUAUGAGGUUUUGUGGUUAAAUUGAUUAGAUUAUCGGACCUGUCCAUUGUAAAUUUAAGGCAACACAAGAAAUUCUCGAGGCACUCAAGGUGUUCAGACCGCAGGCAGUUUUAACUGUUUGAACACCUGUUUGAACACUUUGAGUGCCUGGAGAAUUUCUUGUGUUGCCUUAUCGUUGUGAGAUUUCUGGUCCUGCUCCAGAGCACCGGUGGCUGCUGGGACUGAAUGCGGUUCCUAUCAUCACUUUUACAUUGUAAAUUUAAUGUGAAAUUUGGGUGUUUAGCUUGAUGUUGCAAAACUGUAUAGCCAAUAAAAUGUAUUCAUAUUGUUAUGUUUUGUAAACAUGUAACUAUAUAUAAAUAUAUUUAUACUACCGUGAGUACUGCCCUCUGAUGAGACAUUAUGUUGUUGAAAUCUUACUGUUGAUCACAGUUUUAUAUAAGAUCAAUAAACAAGUUAUUAAGUCUGUGGGCCUGGUCUGACUUCAUGUCUUACCAAACUUGGAGGAACGAUAACAUAAUAUUUAUAUUAAGUAUAUAUUUUGCAGUACUUUGAUUUGCCCAUUUUCACACUGUUUUGGUUUAUCUGAUGUGUUUUCUGAAUCUUUUCUUUAUUAACAAAAUUCAGAUAAGCCGAAUUGCCAUAUGGGCGAAAUUCUGUCAUCGCAAACAUUUUUUCAUUAUUGGAUGAAGUGGUUCAGCCAAAACAAAUUUUUUUCUCAGUGAACAUUUCUAUGAGGCAUAUUUCAAUCAAGGUAGGCAACUAAAAUACAUUUAUUCAAAAUAACGAGAUUUAUACACCAACUAUGCUAAAACCAGAUACAUUAUAAGGGGAAGAAAAAAACACAAUGUAUAAACAGAAUUUUUAUUAUGUGAAAAAAAAUCAAAACUUUGGAAAUCCAGAGGGUAUAAUGUUAAUGGCAUCACUAAGAACAGGUAAUAUUAUUAAAUUGCUGUCUCAUUACUGUUGGCUCUUUCCUGUUAAUUGCAUUUUAACGAAUAAUUCAAUUGAAAAUUCCUGCAAGUUUUGCUUGCAUGAAAAAUUCACAUUUGAGUCAAAAAUGACUCAAUGCCUUAAAACAUACAAAGGAAGAAAAUUGCAGGCAUUCAUGAAUUGGUGUCAUGAGCUAAGGUCAGGAACGGCAAAAUCAUAUUUGUGGUCAUGCUGACAUCCUCACAAUACUAAAUGAAACAAGGAUAAGGGACAUUUAUUCACAUAAUCAAAAUGUUGGAGCUAAUUUAGUUGGCAGACAUAGAUUUUGCACUGAUGCUUGCUUACUGUUUGACAAAGCUCAUAUGCUCCAAUGGUAUAGUAUAAAAUUGAAAUAGUUCUUCUUUGACUUCUAAUAUAUGCCACCAUGGAGGUUUGUACAUUUAUUGUAACAUUUGAAGUCUUGCAUGCCUUUGGUGGGGAUGAAUCUAAAAAUCAGCAGAGCACAAUGUAUGAAGGGAAAUUCAGUUCCCAUGAAUGAACUGCUUUAAGUAAAGCUAAAUGUUUGUUCCCAGCUUUUACUUUUAAGAUGUUAGAUUGCAUUUUAGCACAGGAGAGUUCUGAGAAAACCACAUCUAUCAUCACAAGAUGUCCUAGUGAUAACGUUCAAUAACACUUUCUUUUAUCUCUUACUUUUAUUUUAGACCAUGCUUGAAUGCAUUAAAAAUAAGCCAAGAGAUAUCUUACUGAAUCUACACCUGCAUUCAAGAGAAAAUCCCAAAAGAUACACUUUUUGAAUAGCAUCCUUUUAACUCUUCUUUGACCACAUUUCUUAGAUUUCCAUAAGAAACAUUUAAAAAAAAUGUAAAGUAAUGUUUGUCAGUCAAGAUAUAGAAUAUAAAAGACUUUAAAAUAGUAGUGAUGCAUAUUAUUGGGAGUAAAUUCAAAUAAUCAAUUUAGUUUUUAAGCAGAACUAUUAACAUUUUUUUAAUGAGCUAUGUGUUUCAAAUGCAACACACUUUUCCUUUCUGAUUGUAUUUUAUGAUAUAUUAUAAUACUGUUAUUCUCAUUUACUUGCAGAGUUCAUUCCAACAUAUAUGAGAAAAAUGUAUGAAAAAGGAAAAAGUGAAUUAAGGCAUCUGUAAAGACACCUAUUUAAAGCAGCUCUGUCACUGUUCGAUAUUUUUGCAUAUUUUGCAAAGACCCCCAAUGGUGGUUGCUCUGCUGGGUGUCUGGUGGCCGUAGGGUGCAUGGGAAGUAGAGUUUUAUUUACCUGAACCCUCAUGGCCACUCCCAUGUUCUUCCUCAGCCAUCUUCAUCUCCUGGUGCUGUAGUCCAUGUAGCUCAUGCACAAGAGUACAACAUAUCCCGCAAGAUCUUCCAUAGACAAAGCUGUUAAGGGAAGCUUUAUGAAAUACCAAUUUUAAAGGGGGUGGAGUGACAAAGCCACUAAUUAGCAUACAUUUUAAUAGAAUGAUAAAGCACACGGGGAGAUAUAGUAAGGCAAAAGAGGUGCUGUUUUGGGGCAAAAAGCAAAAUAAAUAGCAAUUACCAUGCAAACCAAUAGAAUAUCUUACAGUACGUAGCAUCUGAAAUAGAACUGACUUGUCUUGAUACAUUUUCUCCAUAACAUACAAAACUGAUUCUAAGUCAUUGAUCACGAAUUUCCGAAUUCUUUACGCAACUAAACAAACUGAACACUAAAUUUUUCAGAUCCAUUUGUUUUCAUAAGGAUAACAAAUUAGAGGCUAAUCUAAGUUAAAGAAAACCUUUUUUUAAAUUAGUCUUACUUUUACUCUAUCAACUGUUUAGUCAAUAGCUCCUUAAUUUGAUAUUCUUACGUGGGAUUGCUAUAAUUAAGGGUACCAAAUAAGGGACUUAUGUGCUAAGCAGCUGAAACAGCUAAAUUAAUAAAAGGGCAUUUUUUUCUUAAGAUUCACCACUGCAUUUUGUUGGUGCUUUAUAAAUAAUAAUAAUAAUAAUAAUAAUAAUAUAGAAAGGUUAGUAGAUACAGGGAACAGCCUUCCAGUGGAAGUGGUAAAGGUCAAUGGUGAGCUUAACAUCUGUGGCUGGGAUAGUAUUUAAAAGGUUAUUAAGGGGUAGUUUUCAGAAAUUAUUUGGGUAGAACAUUGUCAUUAGCAAAAAUCAGCAAGGUGUUAUUAAAUACAGGCCGUGUCAAACUAACUUAAUUGCAUUCUGCGAAGAAGCAGGUAGACGUAUAGAUCAGGGUGAUGCAAUGGAAGUGAUCUACAUGGAUUUUGUCAUGGCGUUUUAUACAGUUCCACACAAUAGGUAAGUUUCCAAACUAAAAGAAAAUGAUCUAGAUAAAAAUUAUUGUUCUUGGCUUAAAGAUAGAGCACAGAGAGUAGUCAUUAAUGGUACAUUUUCAAACUGAAAAAAAGUGGUAAGGGUUCUGUUCUGGGACCGCUUCUAUGUAACAAAUUUAUAAAUUAACUUGAAAUGAGAACUGAAAAUUUUGUUUCAGUGUUUACAGAUGAUACAAAAUUAGAUGAGGUAAUACAAUGUAAGCAGGAUAUUACUUUAUUGCAGCAGGUUUUAGAGAGAUUAGUGGACUGGGCACUCAAAUGGCAUGGAUCACAUUAAAGUGGAUAAAUAGAACGCACUACCAAGUAAAGAAUGCACAAGCAACUUACACCCUAAAUCAGGCUUCCACAAACUCCGACCCUCCAGAUGUUGCUGAACUACAACUCCCAUGAUUCUAUGAAUGAAAUAGGCUGAGAAUCAUAGGAGUUGUAGUUCAGCAACAUCUGGAGGGCCAGAGUUUGGGGAAGCCUAAACGGUAGUGAAUUUGUGGUAACAGCACAUGGGAAGGAACUCGGAAUUGUUAUAGACAACAAACUAGACAAAACAAGCAAUGUCAAUCAGCAGUGGAUAAGGCCAGUAAGGUAUUGUCAUGCCUAAAUAGGGGCAUUAAGGAUAAGUAUGCAAUUGUGCCUCUUUAUAAUUCAAUGGUAAGACCACACUUUAACUGUGCCAAGCAAUUUUUAGAACCUGUUCAUAUGAAGAAUAUUAUAGCACUAAAAAAAGUGCAAAAACAGGCUACACAAAAACAGUGAAUGUAGGUUCUGCACCUGCAUAGAAUGUAUCUGAUAAACACAUUGAACAUAUAGAAUGUAUGUGUGUAGCGGAGAUGCAAUAUUACCCAGGAUAUCUCCGCUUGUAAUCCAAGUGAGGCUCAGGAACAAGUAAAUAGUAAAUCCACAGGCAAGGCUUCCAGCAGGUAAAAUACAGCCAUAUCCCAACAGCAAUCCCAAUAACUGGACGACACACAGUUUCAGGAGCAUAACUGACAAGCCUUUAAUCACAGUCUCCUUAUAAAGCAUGCUCCCAUGCAAGGGAGGGAUUUACAGUAAUUAUUACAGUAGCCAAUCCUGUCCUGGUAACCUCCCACACAUCUCCUCCCCUCAGCCAGCAUCAUAAUCCCCUUAUCCAGCACACCAAUUCCCCCCGUUUCUGGAUGUACCCCUAAACGUAGGGGUACCUCUUUAAAUCCUACAUCCCCGGAUACCCCUGAUCUGGGUGAACAACAUAUCCAAAAAUCACCCAGAUCAGACCAGGGGUUCGGGAAAUGUAUGGAGGGAAUAAAAUGACCGACCGCACUAACUGAUAUAUAGCCGAAUAAGGUUCCAUGCGAAUGGGCCCUGCGGUCGGUCCUGGCAUAAGGGAACAAAAUACACGAAAGCCUCUAGCUAUAGAGGCUAGGGAGGGUUCGCCUGAAUCCCCUCGUUCGGUAUUUUCUAUCUGACCGCAACGAGGGCCGCUCGGGUAGUUUGUCCGAUUUUUAGUUCCAGACACCGGCGCAAAACACCGCUGUUCGGGAGUUUUAAAAUGGCCGCCGCCACGUGUUCGUUUGUCGAAUGGCGGCCACCCCCGAGAACAAAGGACGGCUACUUACUGUUCAAUUACCCGUUCGCAACAAUGUUGCAACGGGUAAUUGAGGACACACUUCACACAGGGGAGGUCUGGUUGUUCGGUAGUUUCAUUCGAAUAAACUAAGGGAAUGAAACUACCGAACAAUCAGAGGAAUACAAUUCUUUUUAAUACAUAGAAAAUACAGCAGAUACACGAAUGCAGGUAUAUACAGUAUAUUUGUAGGGUCGCCUGGUGCCAUCCGCUACACUGCUCCCCCUUGCCCACAAGCCGGCAUACACAGUCUGAUCCAACACGGAUCGGCUUGGGGAUGUCCGGGGAGGCUCAUGGAUCAUUUCUCUAGGUCAGUUUGUCGAGACAACCCAUCAGCAUUUCCAUUCUGUUUACCCGGGCGGUACUGGAUAUUAAAGUCAAAGGGCUGCAGCGCCAGACUCCAGCGCAGCAGCCGGGCAUUGUCCCCAGCCACCCGGUUUAGCCAUACUAACGGGUUGUGAUCCGUGAGCAGGGAAAAAGCUUGUCCGUACAAAUAUGGCUGUAAUUUCUUCAGGGCCCACACCACAGCCAGGCAUUCUUUCUCGAUGGCGGCGUAGCUUACUUCUCGAGGUAACAGUUUCCGGCUGAUGUAAGCCACGGGAUGUUCUCCGCCAUCGGCCCCGACUUGGCUCAAUACUGCUCCCAAUCCAAACAUAGAAGCGUCUGUGUGGACAAGAAAACGUUUAGUUGGAUUGGGAGCUGCCAAGACAGGGGCAUUUGUCAAUGCAUCUUUCAACAACUGAAAUGCCUGUUCACACUCCGGGGUCCAGGUUACUUGGCGGGGUAGGUUUUUACGGGUCAAGUCGGUGAGAGGUUUGGCCAGGGCACUGUAAUUCGGGACAAAUUUCCGGUAGUAUCCGGCCGUUCCUAGGAACGCUAACACCUGAGUCUUAGUCCUAGGGGUAGGCCAUUGAGCUACAGCCUCUACUUUGGCUGGUUCCGGCUUUUGCUUGCCGCAUCCUACCCGAUGACCUAGGUACUGUACUUCAGCCAUACCUAUGCUGCAUUUGGCUGGUUUCAGUGUUAAACCAGCGGCCCUAAUCCUGUCUAGGACCGCUCCUAUAUGGGUCAGGUGUUCCUGCCAGGUAUUGCUGAAAAUGGCAAUAUCAUCGAGGUAUGCGCAGGUAUACUCCUGGAACCCAUCCAGGAGGCGGUCCACCAUCCGCUGAAAAGUAGCCGGGGCGUUUUUCAUCCCAAACGGCAUGACCUCCCCUAAGUCCCCGGAUAACUGACCCUCUCCCAGCAGAUCCGGGAGAGGUAAACUGUCAAACUCCUCGGAGUUAGGCGCACAUAUAGCGGUCACUUCCUCAGAGCGCUCCUGGUAGGGCUUCAUCAUGUUUACAUGGAGCAUGCGUCGCCCCCCAGUACCAACGCACGAGACGAUUAUAUAAGUGGUGUCACACCGUUGUUCUACCACCUUAUAAGGGCCCUCCCAGGCGGCCUGCAGCUUAUCGUGUCGGACGGGUUUUAAGAUCAACACCUUCUGCCCGACCUGAAAGCUACGGUCCCUGGUGCCCCGAUCAUACCAUGUGCGCUGGCGUGUCUGAGCCGCCUGCAAAUUCUCGCGUACCGUCUGAGUUAAGGCCUCAAGGCGGUCUCGGAAUGCCAACACAUAUGGUAUGAUGGGGGUACCGUCAGUGCUCCAUUCUCCCUCCCAAUGCUCUCUGAUCAAAUCUAAAGGCCCUCGUACCCUGCGGCCAAACAAUAGUUCAAAUGGGGAAAACCCAGUGGAUUCCUGCGGCACCUCCCUAUAAGCAAAGAGGAGGUGGGGCAGGAACUUCUCCCAGUCCUUGUGGGUCUCUGCAAAGGUUCGGAGCAUUUGUUUCAAUGUACCGUUGAAACGUUCGCAGAGCCCAUUCGUCUGGGGGUGGUAAGGGGAACUAAUGACCGGCUUAAUGUCACAAAACUUCCAGAGGCGCUGCGUGACUUCGGCGGUGAAUUGGGUGCCCUGAUCGGAGACAAUCUCCCUGGGGAGUCCCACCCGGGAGAAUAUCUUCAUCAGGGCUUCUGCUACUGUCUCCGCCUGUAUAUUCGUCAGGGCCACCGCCUCUGGAUAUCUAGUGGCAUAAUCUACUACUGUCAGGAUAAAUCUUUUACCUGACGGGCUUGCUUUGUUGAGGGGUCCUAUUAGGUCAACUGCUACCCUGCUAAAGGGUUCCUCGAUUAUGGGAAGGGGAUGUAACUUGGCCUUGCGCCGGUCCCCCCUUUUCCCCACCCUUUGACAGGUAUCGCACGUGUUGCAAUAUCUGCGCACCUCCUGGCUAAUCCCCGGCCAAAAGAAACUUUGGGUUAACCUGUAUCGGGUCCUGCUGACCCCUAAAUGUCCAGAUAGCGGAAUGUCAUGUGCUAUCCGUAGUAACUCCGCCCGGUACCGCUGAGGUACCACUAACUGCCUCAUCACAAUCGGGUCUGACCCGGAUACCUUCUUAUCCGUCUCCCGAUAUAGCAGCUGUUUGUCCCAAAUAAACCUUUCGCUCUCCCCCCCAGGAGUGUCUGCUGUCACCUUGUCCCUAUAAACCUGCAAGGUGGGGUCAGUCACUACUUCAGCUGCAAAUUCGUUAGGAGGGGCCCAGGGCACACAGUCAAGGGAAGGGGAAGGAUCUCUUACCUGAACCUCCGGGAGUGUGUUGUAGUCCUGGGUGCGGGCCUGUUGUCGCGUAACUACAGGGUGAGCUUCUCCUGUGGUGGGUGUCUGGGGCUCAAAAGCAGAUGUGAGCCUCCCCAGAUCGUUCCCCAACAAAACCUCCGCCGGUAACUGCGGCAUCAACCCCACCUCCACAUGCCCUGCCCCCGCUCCCCAAUGCAAAUGUACCCUUGCUGUAGGUAGCCGGUAUACUGCUCCCCCGGCUACCCUGACGGCCACAGUCUUAUUUAGUUUAGCCUGGUCUGAGACUAGAUGACUUUUUACCAGGGUGAUGGUGGCUCCUGAGUCACGUAGCCCCUGAACCGCUUUACCCUCCAGAUACACGGUCUGCCUGUGAUGCUGGCGGUUGUCAGCAUUAGCCUGGACUGGAUCCGCCUCGUGCAGUACCUCCCACUGUUCUACCGUUGUGAUGGGAACUGCUGAACCAUACGGUGUGGCCACGAUGUCCUGGUAGUGGUGGGCUGCGGCUGCUCUCGGUGGUGGUGGUGGGCCGGGGCGAAUCCAGGUGGAACGGUCCCGCAGCUGGGGGCAUUCCCUUUUAUAGUGUCCCCAUUUCUGGCAGUGGUGGCACGGGCCCGACGUGGGCUGGCGGAAACGUGGCUGUGCAGCGGGUGGUGGGGGUGGUGGCAGUGGUCUUGGUAGAGCUGGCAUGUAGUUGUUCCCCCCAAAGGUUUUAAAAGGUACUUUUGGAACUGCCGGUUUUUGCUGCCUGCGUGCAUCCAGGUACUCGUCUGCCUUCCUGGCUGCUUCGGUAAGGGAGGUAGGGUUUCUGUCUCUUACCCACUCCUGUACCUCGCUGGUUGCUCCUUCAUAAAAUUGCUCCAGCAGUACCAUUUGCAAUACAUCCUCCAUAGACCGUGCCUUGCUCGCUUGCACCCACCCCAAGACUGCUCGUUGUAGUCUGCAUGCCCACUCUGCGUGUGAGUCUUUCUCUACCUUCUUUAAAUCCCUGAAUCUCCGCCGGUAUGCUUCUGGUGUUAUAGCAUACCUGGCCAAUAUAAUUUCUUUCACUUUAUUGUAAUUCCGUAUUUCUUCAUUAGGUACAGUACGGUAUGCCUCAGCUGCCCUCCCAGUUAACCUCCCUGCCAAAAUAGGUACCCAGUCCUCUGCGCUGAUUCUAUGCAGUGCACACAGUCUCUCAAAAUCUUGCAGGAAAGCGUCUAUAUCUUCCUCUGCCUCCACAUAUGUUUUAAAAGCCUGGUACGGUAUUUUAGGCUUACCUUCCUGUGGCAUAUUUACUGUAGAGCUGCGUUCUGGGGCCGCAGUUUGACUCCUCAGUAUAAAUUCCUGGACCUCCGUCAUCGUUUUUGACACAAUCUCUGUUGGAGGGUGUUCCCCAUAGAAAGACAGCCGAAAUUGUACCUGCCUCUGGAACUCCCUUUGUUCCGGUGUCUCUCCCGAAUUCCCCUGUUCGGGAACCAAAUCGCCGUCCAUUCGGUACUCCGCCAUCAGUUCAGUAACGAGUACCGCUUUUGUCUUAUUGCUGGCUUGUAUACCCCUUGCCUCCAGAAGGUCUUUUAGCAUGGAGCGUUUUAGUGUGGCAAAAUCAAUCUCCAUCCGUACUCCAUUUAGGCUUGUUCCUCUGUGAGUCUGGAUCCCAGCGCUGCCAACCAAUGUAGCGGAGAUGCAAUAUUACCCAGGAUAUCUCCGCUUGUAAUCCAAGUGAGGCUCAGGAACAAGUAAAUAGUAAAUCCACAGGCAAGGCUUCCAGCAGGUAAAAUACAGCCUUAUCCCAACAGCAAUCCCAAUAACUGGAUGACACACAGUUUCAGGAGCAUAACUGACAAGCCUUUAAUCACAGUCUCCUUAUAAAGCAUGCUCCCAUGCAAGGGAGGGAUUUACAGUAAUUAUUACAGUAGCCAAUCCUGUCCUGGUAACCUCCCACACACCUCCUCCCCUCAGCCAGCAUCAUAAUCCCCUUAUCCAGCACACCAAUUCCCCCCGUUUCUGGAUGUACCCCUAAACGUAGGGGUACCUCUUUAAAUCCUACAUCCCUGGAUAGCCCUGAUCUGGGUGAACAACAUAUCCAAAAAUCACCCAGAUCAGACCAGGGGUUCGGGAAAUGUAUGGAGGGAAUAAAAUGACCGACCGCACUAACUGAGACAGCCGAAUGAGGUUCCAUGUGAAUGGGCCCUGCAGUCGGUCCUGGCAUAAGGGAACAAAAUACACGAAAGCCUCUAGCUAUAGAGACUAGGGAGGGUUCGCCUGAAUCCCCUCGUUCGGUAUUUUCUAUCUACCGAACGAGGGGCCGUUCGGUAGUUUGGAACCGAACGGACCAGGGCUUGUGGAGGUCUCAGCGGUGUUCGCCUACUCGAGUGUCCGAUUUUAGUUCCAGACACUCGACGGCAAAACACCGCUGUUCGGGAGUUUUAAAAUGGCCGCCGCCACGUGUUCGUUUGUCGAAUGGCGGCCACCCCCGAGAACAAAGGACGGCUACUUACUAUUCAAUUACCCGUUCGCAACAAUGUUGCAACGGGUAAUUGAGGACACACUUCACACAGGGGAGGUCUGGUUGUUCGGUAGUUUCAUUCGAAUAAACUAAGGGAAUGAAACUACCGAACAAUCAGAGGAAUACAAUUCUUUUUAAUACAUAGAAAAUACAGCAGAUACACGAAUGCAGGUAUAUACAGUAUAUUUGUAGGGUCGCCUGGUGCCAUCCGCUACAAUGUGAUAUACACAGUAUAGCAAAUUAGGGAGCUACCUUUUUUAACAGCUGAAAGAGCUGAAUUAAGAAAAUACAAUUUCUUAGCGUUGCUCUUUCAAUGGUUUAAUAGAUAGCUUACUAAUUUGGUAACCUUAUGCCAUUUUACUAUACCAAAUUAGGGAGCUAACAGCCCCCUAAUGUGGUACCUUUAAUUAUGGCAAUCCCAUGUAAGGGUAGAAUACCAAAUUAGAGAGCAAUCAACUACAAAUCUGAAAGUGCAAAAAAUUAAAACACCCCUAUUUCUUAAAUUUGCUGUUUCACAUGCUUAAUAGAUAGCUCCCUAACUUGUUACCCUUAUAUGGUAUUACUACUUUUAAGGUAUCAAAUUAGGGUAGUGGCGCCCUAACUUUGUUUCCAUUGGCAUAAUGGUGUCCAAAUUUCAUUUUGGUUCUGAAUUUUUCUGAAUUUCAGUUCAUUCUGACUCGGAAGAUCCAAAAUGUGAAAAUAAUCAAAUUGCAAUGAAACAAACCAAAACAAGUUGUUGUUUUUUUGUCCAUGCACGUCUCUAUAAAUUAGAGUGCUGAACUGUAAUUGUAGGAAUGGAUAAGCUGUACAAAUGCGCAGAUCAAAAUAAAUGCCCAGAAUGAACAAUUCUUUCUCCUAUAAUGCAAUGUGAAAUAAAGUCCAUUUAUUUAUAAUGAAUAUUUAUUUAUCGACAGAGAAAGAUGCAGUGAGUGUGUGAAUAAUUUGUGCAAUGUCUGCUAAGAUCGAUCAAUUGGAGGGGAAAGCUCCAAUUCACUAAAAGCAAUUCUCUGUAAAUUCACAUCUGGGUAGAAAACAAAUAAGCUGAUAAAAAAAAAAAAAAACAUAUUCAUUGUCUGAAGUUAAAAGGAAAUUAAAAGUUCAUUACAAAUUGAAGGCUUAAACAGCUGUACAUACAAAACGUUUUCAACAUUAGACACAAAUUAUCAGCCCCUCUUGAGUUAUUAGGAGGAUUAGAAAACCUCCAUUCAAUUUUACUUUCUUAAAUGUGUAGUAUAGGUACCUACACAACUUAAUUGAAGUGGUCUGGGUGCAAUGUUCCUGUCACCUUAAAGGGACACUGUAGUCACUAUAACCAUUUCAUCUCUUUGAAUUGGUUAUAGUGCCUGGAGUGCCCUGUCAUUGUCCCUCCACUCAGUGUUGUACCAUGUUCGUGCAGUAUGCCACAACAUAAGAGUCCCUGGCCACCUACAGUCCAGCCCCUUCUGUAUGUGUAGCUAAGGCAGAGAUUACACACUUCCUUGUUGUCAUACCCAUUCAUACCGUCAGUUGGAGCUCUGACAGGCUGAAAGCAGUCAGCUGACAAUCUCAACCAAUCACAGAUGUCCAUUGCUGCUCAGGCUAAUACUUCCUUUUUAGCCAAAGCUGCACAGAUGGGAUGGACUGCCGGGGACUCUUGUUUAGCAUUAAAACAUAAAAACAUUAAAAACUGUUUAAUGCUGAAAGAAAUUAUGGUACCAGGGGACUCCAGACACUAUAACCAGUUUAAUGAGAUGAAGCAGAUACAAUGCCUACGGUGUCCCUUUAACCCUGCAUUGUUAAUUGUUAAAUAAUUACAUUGCAGGGUUAAGACUGCCUCUAGUGAGAGAUCGCCACUGGAAUUGGGCGAGUACAGUAAGGUACCCUUUUGACACUUACAUUUUGGAAUAGGGGGUGCAAGUGAGGGGUGGGCAGAGGGAGCAAUAGCGCUAGAAAUACAACUUUGUAUCUUUGCACUACAGUAUCGCUUUUAGUAAGAGGGAAAAACAAGGAACAUUGUAAAUGUCAACUACAAACUAUAGUAUAUGUUUUUGGGGGAUGGAGGGUGGGUAAAUGAGAGCGCUGCACUAGUGUUUGUACCCGUGGAAAAUAUUUAGUUUUUUUUGUUGUUAGAGUACCCUUUGAGCUUUAUAUGCUGUUAUGUGAAUAAGCAAAUAACCACAAUGACAUAUAUUUCACUAUUUGCAAAUUUCUAUUCAGAAACACAUUUCUUAUAUCUUCCCCAGAGAGUUUCUUGAAUCACAUCUUGGAUUUUUAGAAAUAUAAAUUGUCUGUCUCAGUACGCCUGGUUCAACUACACACUGAAAUCUAAUACUAAAAUGAGAAUUUGCUGUUCUCUAUGUUCUGCUGAUAUUCAAGUUGUACAAUGAAUUGUCGUUCUGGGAAUACAUGUUUGUAGUUUUACAAGCUAUGGAAAAAAGAACUGCAGUGACUGAUGACCAACAACUUACUGGGAUGUCCUCUAACCAAAACAAGAACAUGACUUGAACCAUUUCAAUAAUAUUUAUUUAGUAGAAUAUGUAAUCAAAAAACAAAUUUACAUUUUCAUUUAUAUUCCACUGCCUUAUUAAUUUAAAUGAAAUGCUAUAUACAUGAUUAGUUAAGAAUAAGAAUAGUCAGAAAACAAACCAUACCACCUAUCAUGCUUAUUAGCAAUUUUAUAUUUUUUAUAAUACAGUUUCCAUGAUCAUCUGUAAAUAAUAUCUUGAUAGCGUGGAGUUAUCUCGAAGAAAAUAAUUCAUAUUGCAUAUUGGUUCACCUUAUAAGUGCUAAAACAUAUAUUAUGUAUCUUUGUAAACACUGAUGUGCAAGAAGUUGGCUGUCCUGUAGACUUGUGCACAGAAGAAAUAUUUGGUUUUGCCGAAGCAAUUCAUAUGGAAAAAAAUGAAUUGUUUGGUUAAUUAGACAAUAGUGUGGUAUGCAUUUGCAGAAAUUAUUUAGAAAACAAAACUAAUUGGGAGCAAAAAUGGGCCAAUCUGUACUGCAAAAUAUAAGUAUUAUGUAUGUAUUUUCAGGUACACUGAUUUUUGUCACGCCAUUUAGUUCACAGAUCAACUGAGAAAAAGUAGCCAAAAGUAAACUCUAUUAUUCACUUUAUCUGGUGUCUUUUUUCCCCAUCAAGCAUCUAUAGAAAACCAACUCCUGAUUCAUGCCAACAAAACUGUUAGCACAAAAAUGUGCAUGAUUUAAUCUUUUUAUUAACAAUCCUACAAUGUUUUAUGUUUUUACAAAGUGCAUAUAUUUAUUUUAUUAACAAUAAUGCCUGUUCCUGACAGGAUUUCUUUGCUACCAAAACUCACCUCAAUCAGGGCAGUUGCUGCAAAAUAUUAAUAUGAAUAGUUACUGAAAAAUAUGUUCAUAUAACAAUGGAGUUAUGGUCACAACUGGAAGACUCAGUUACAUAACGUUUUGUCAUUCAUUUAGCUGUGAAGAUUUAUUUGUCACUUACAAUUUUUGUGUUUAUGACAGGACAGUUUCAUGGCUGCAUUUUUUUACCUCAAGCUCACACACCUAAAUAUACCUAAAAAAUGCUUAUUUACAAGUCACUAUAUUCUUCCCUUACUUUCAACAAACAUGCUCAUCCAUUGUCCAGUUUGUUUGUUUGUGAAAACUCCAGCCGGUGCUUCAGAGUUAUGGAAUUUGGACAACUCACCAAUCUCACAAAGAUCUGAUGAACUUUUGUGUGAAAGCAAAUACAAAAGUGUUCUGACCUGUACAAACCGCAGAUCUCAAACUCAUCACAUACAAUUUGAGAUAAAUUGAUAUGCUAAAUGGGAGAAACUUACAAUUGCUUAAUAUCAAUGCCUACCUCCUUAAUGCUCUUGUGGCUGAGCUGAAUCAAAUUUAUUGAGAAAUAUUUCAGCAUAUAGGAAAAAGUCUUCUUGAAAAUGGCAUAUCAACUCCUGAUUAAUACCCAUGAUUUAGAAAUAAAAUAUUUCUUGAGAUGGUGUCCUUGUAUAGUUGGUUGUGUUGUGUUUUCAUGCACCCUAAUGGCUGUGUUAUAGUUUAAAUAUUUAGCAAUACAGCAUUUUGUGCCUUAUUACAAUGCAGUCGCAGUAGAGAGGCGUCAUGCGCUGGUGAUCAUUGGCGUAUGUGAUACUAAGAUAUACUUAAUUUGGAACACAAUAGCAGAUGAAAGAUUACAUUUGAUACUGUCACUUUAAGAAAACAUAAUUUAUUGAAUUUGGGUAUUUCCACUUUAAUAAUCCUCUGCAGCAAUAUGAAUUAAAAAUAAUAAUGCAAAAGUAAAGAUAGAUCCUAUGGUGGGACCGCUGCCUGUUCGUGAAUUGCCUUUCUGAUAUUAUAUGUGUUUCCUCACCUCUUCGUAUAUUGUGCCCACUCCCCGUUCGGGAGUGCCUUCACGAAGGGAAUUCAUUCACCUCCCGAACGGGAACAACUCUGAUACUUCACUUAGAAUAUUAGUUUAGAACCUUCACAUCUCGUAACAUAAGUGUCAAACCGCAAACCGCAAGGAAAACAAUUAAUGAGCGCUCCCCUGGAUGGAUGCCAUUCGUACAGACGAACGCCAGCCAGGUGGAGCGUUCAUGGAUUGUUUCCCGACUCGUUUGUUUCCAGAACUCUCCACUGCCCCAUUAGAACGUUCACACCAAUUAAUCAGAAUGUUCUCACUUGCAACCUAAGUGUGAAACCGCAAGGGAAGCAAUAAUGAAUGCUCCCUGGAUGGCCGCCACUUCGUAUAAACAAAUGCCGUCCAGGGUGAGCAUUCUUGUCCCAAAAGGAGACGAUUCCCUUGCAGGAUUUUACACAGGGAGUGGGACGGGUGUGGGAAACCCUAUACCUUUAGUGCCAGGAAAUGAGGACAAAGGGAACAGAGUCCUUUCCCACACUGUGGACCCAGGGAGGGGGAAGAUCCUGGGAGGGGAAAAAGGGAACAGAGUCCUUUCCUGCGCUGUGUACCCAGGGAGGGGGAGGAUCCUGGGAGGGAAAACCGUGGUCCGCUACAGAUCCCACUUGGGAUUGCUUCACAGAGUUAGACUUCAGUAGUGAAAAAUAAAGUAGAUCCUGAUUUAGAUUAAAUAGCAAUGUCCAUAAGCUUCUUUAGACUUCAAUAGUAACACAAAAUUAAAUAUAUCCUGCUUUGGGAAAAUAUAUCACAGUCCUUUAGAUGCUGUCAAUAAAUUACUUAAAUUAGAAAAUAGUAAUGAGCUGAAUGGUUACUUUCAAUAGAGCAAUUUAGGAGUAACUGGAACCCAGAAGACAGACAAGUGUAUUCCCUUUUUAUCCUUCCACAUAAACAUAAGAAUUGAACCAAUUAUUAAUCCAGUAACUGGAGAACUUCUAUCUUGCUUUCUUUGGAUUAUGAGCAUGGAAGUCCUUUCCACAAUAGUGUGGAUUAUGGUUCCCUGUAGAAUAUGGAGGAAUGGAGGAAUUUGUGGUGAAGUCUGUUCCUUGUCUGGGAGUGAGGAAGUCAGUGUAGUCAGGAUAAGCAAGAGAGGUUCGGUACACAGGUAAUCAAAUAGAAGAGCUCAUACGGCAAUCAGCAGCAAAGUAACAAGGUAUGCAAGAGGCACAAAUUGAUUGAGCAACUUGGAUGCGAACGCGGCUUCCUUUUCAAAGGGAAGCCCAUGAUGUCAGACACAGGGGCAGAGUCAGAACGGUGAAACCCGGAAGUCAUAAGGGUAAUGUCGAUCGGAAGGGCGAUAUGGGGGAGUCCUGACAGCAUAUGUCUUUUAUUAUAGUUAAGGCAUCAUUAUUUGACAUAUAAAUAAAAUAUAAAAAGUGUGUUGGAGGAUCCUAGCUGUGCUUACCUAAUUACAAUUGACAGAUAUAAGCUUCUUUAGCACCUAAGUUUCCAUUGAUUUGAGUUUACUGGAAAACAAACUCCAAAUAUUUACUCUUGCAUAAUGUACAGCAUUCUCUAGUGACGUAGUAAGUUAGUUAUUGUGGUAAUAUGUUUUUUAUUACAAAUAUUAAAUUUACCUUCUACAAGAAGAAAGAUCAGCAAUAAUUUGUAAUUAACCAAAAACAUAUCUGAUAUAUGAUAUGACACAACAUAUCAGAAUAUCAAAUAAAAACAAUAAAUAUACCGGGGUGUAGAAGAUAGAUGUCUUGUUUUUGCAUUACAGGGUUAUUCCGAAGACCAGGACCAUUUCAAUGAUUUGAAGUGAUCAUGGUGCUUUUAGUCUGCAUGUCUAGAAUUUCACUAAGAAAUGUGUGCACAUACAGAGAUAAAAAACUUGGUUGCCUGUGGGGGAAACUCCACCUCUGGCAGUAUCUUUAGUAGCCUGGAAUGAGUGUGGUGGUAAGGGGAAUUUGUGUCAUUGAAGGAGCGACUUGGGAUUGCAGGUAAGUUUAUGCUGUUCUUGACAUCAAUAAAUUAAGCACAGUGCUCAAUACGAAUGUCUUCUAAACAUGCAGAGAUGUUGCUUACACUACGUAUUUGAUUUGUAAGAAAUAUAGCCAGGAUUAGACAGUAUUCUAUUACUAGCUCUGAAUAUUGUAAACAAAAAAAAAACAACUAGAUAGGAUUGAGCAGAACUGUUGAUAUGUUUUUAACUAAACCAUCUGUCUUGUAACAUGAAUGUAGAAUUCUUCCCUUGACCACCUGUCCCCAGUGACACCUUAAUCAGAAUAAUCCUCAAGUAGAAGCAAAUUGCAAUGUCUUUAUAACACUGUAACAUCUUACUAAAUAAUACAGGGAACUGCAUUGACAAAACAUCACUUUUUCAUUCCUGUUUUUAAAAUGUCAAACUGCACAGUACAAUUUACGUAAGAGGUUUGCUAAUUUUAGUCUGCUGCACAUACCAUCGUUAGACAGUCUGCUGUUUAGUAGUGUGUACAUGAGUCUUACAAAACUGGUUGGAAAGCUGGAAUAAUUAUUUAUUUACUCUCAGUUCUUCCAGUUUAUAUUUUUUUUUUAUCUGUUCAGAUCAAUGCAAAGUGGUUCAAAUCAAGAAAUAAACAUUUACAUGGAAUCACAAAAGAACAAAUGGAGUUAUAUGAAAAGGCACCCAUUCGAUCCUCUUCAGCAAAAUACUAUAAUACAGGCUGUUUAUUUGGAUGCUUCUCACUGAGCCUUAACAAGUAUGAUUAAAUAUCAGCUCGUUUGCAUAUUAAAAGUGAUUUGUCUGCCUAAUCACCAAAGUGGAC